AUAAUAUUACUAUAUCUCUCUAGGUUAGUGUCUGCAUCUUACACAAUUAAGAUUGGCCAAAAUCUUUGAAAUACCUCUAAGAGAUUACAUUUGGACAUAAAAAUUCAUAAAGCAAAACUUUUAGAAAUGUGAGGUGCAUAUGAAAUAAUCUUAAACAUGUUAAAGAGUUUUAUAUAGCUUUCUUAGCCCUUAUAGACAAAAUAUAUAAAGUUAAUUUAGAGAAUUUAAAUAUCAUAUUAGUACAUUUUAUUUAAUAUAUGGGCAUAUCUUGGAGAUAUUGAGGGUUUGGUUCCAGACUGCUGCAAUAAAGCAAGUCAUACACAGUUUUUUCGGUUUCCUAGUGCAUAUAAAAGUUAUGUUUACACUAUACUGUAGUAUAUUUGGUGUGCAGUAACAUUGUCUAUAAAAACAAUGGACAUACUUUAAUUAAAAUGCUACCAAUCAUCUGAGCUUUCAGCAAGAAGUUGUGAUUUUUUUUGCUGGUGGAGAGUCUUUCCUUGAUGUUGAUGGCUGCUGACUGAUUAGAGUGAUUAGGGCUUAGUCCUUACCAGACUCAAAGCAUGGACUCUAUUUUUGCUCAGAUUAAGAAUUAAAAUACUGAAAAUGUAUCAGUAACUUUUAUUGGACAGAAAGAGGCACUAUGUCAUUUAAAAGGAAACAAAUCAUAUAAAACUAAAAUAAUUUCAAAAACUUCAGUCUGAUGUUCAUGGUGCUAUAAACAGAUGUGCUGUCAUCCAGGAUUUGUUGUUCCAUACAUAGAGCACAGGCAAAGUAGAUUUAUUAUAAUUUUAUGGGCUCUGGGAUUUUCAGAAUGGUAAAUGAGUAUGAGCCUGAUGAGUGGAACACUGAGAACAUUUACAUUUAUCAGUUCAGUUCAAUAGUGACAUCAAAGAUCCCUGAUCACAGAUCAUCAUAACAGAUAUAAUAAUUAAAAAGUUUGAAAUGUUACAAUAAUUACCAAAAUGUGACACAGAGACAUGAAGUAAGCAAGCACAUACUGUUAGAUAUAUUACAAACACUGUUUUAAGCAGAUAAGAGUGAACCUUCAGCGUGUCAGUGUAAUUCUUAAUAACACCGUAUUCUGUGAGGUCUGCAUGAGUUCAUUUCACUGAACUGAUUAAACGAACCAAAACAUUUACUUCAUAUUGUUUUUUAUCCGUCAGAUAAUCCAGAUAGUUAGAGUUGUGUUAACAUUAAUAUAUUGCCUUUUUAUCUUUUUUUCUUCAAAGACAUACACACAAACUCACACUCACAUGUAGCUUUUGAGGAUUAAUUACAAGGUAUGUCAGGUCAAGCAAUUGCAAAGGUACACUGUGGGGUGAUGAAACAUACCUUGCACAUUAUUUUCUGUGCUUUUUCCCACAUUCAAAUCCUUCUUCUGUCAA
rnacentral:lncRNA from 1 species